CAAUAGCGUAUAUUUUAGUUGUUGCAGUUAAAAAGCUCGUAGUUGAAUUUCUGGUGAGCGAGAGUGGUCCGAUCAAUGAUUGGUGCUUGCUCUCGCUGGCCAUCCUUGGGUUUAGCCAGUCUGGCAUUAAGUUGUCGGGCUGGGGAUGCCCAUCGUUUACUGUGAAAAAAUUAGAGUGUUCAAAGCAGACUUAUGUCGUUGAAUAUAUUAGCAUGGAAUAAUAAGAUAGGACUACAGUGCUAUUUUGUUGGUUUGCGCACCGUGGUAAUGAUGAAUAGGGACAGUUGUGGGUAUUCGUAUUCACUUGUAAGAGGUGAAAUUCUUAGAUUAAGGGAAGACGAACUACUGCGAAAGCAUUUACCAAGGAUGUUUNCAUUAA
rnacentral:rRNA from 1 species